AGCUUUGUGCAGUGGCAGUAUUGUAGCCAACGAGGUGUAUCUGAGGCGCGAUGAUUGCUAAUUGAAAACUUUUCCCAUCCCACAGUGAUCUCAUAGUAUUAAAGCUGUUAUUUUAAUUCAUUUUUUAUUG
rnacentral:snRNA from 1 species